rnacentral:rRNA from 1 species
UACGGGGGAGCAAGCGUUGUUCGGAUUUACUGGGCGUAAAGGGCGCGUAGGCGGCCAGUGCAAGUCAGUUGUGAAAUCUCCGAGCUUAACUCGGAAAGGUCAACUGAUACUGCUCGGCUAGAGUGCGGAAGGGCAACUGGAAUUCUUGGUGUAGCGGUGAAAUGCGUAGAUAUCAAGGAGGAACACCUGCGGCGAAGCGGUGCUGGCCGACACUGACGCUGAGCGCGAAGCUAGGGAGCGAACGG